UUAACUGGUGGAGAAGGACUCACUGGACAGGGUGAAGUCAGCCCUGGCGGUGAAAAACAAACCCUGGCAUCAUUUUCUAGAUGAGACUGCAACUCAGGGAGAAACAUGUGGACACUGGCCUUUUCUCCCAGUGUGAAGGUAGUCAUUGGUUCUAAAGCACAGGGAUAGAAUGUAAUGUGUGCACUAAAAGGUUCACGAUAGCUAUUAUGUAGAAAAUUAGUUGUAAGGGGAUGAGGUCACCAGGAAGAGAUUGUACUGCACUAAUCUCCAUGGCAACAGUAGCUGCUUGACCCAAGAUGGAGGUGAUGGAGCAGGUGGGAAGUAUUUGUUUUCUGAGGUUCCCUGGUGGGAAAGCUGGAAGAUGGCUGAUGUAACUGGAGUAUGAAGGGAGGAGAAGAACAAAAGGAGAUUGUGUAUCCUCUGACCUUGGCUUCUGAAAGAAAGAGGCGCUGACGCAUGUGACUGCCAAGAUCGUUGGUGGACUCCAGGUAGCAAUCACAGCUCCACGUCAGGUCAAGCCAACUUUGACCCCAAGGCAGAAGCCCUCUGGUUCUUCGAGUAUUUGCUGGUAUUUACUGGACAGAGUGCUUCCUUGUGCAAGCCAGAAAAGAAGUCCCUGUCUUGAUAACUCCCAAACAAAAGCUCCCAUCUGAACCCAACCUCUGGCGAUGUGCCACCCGUGAAACAAUCAUUUUGGCAGCAAGACUCCAUCUGGCUGUGGUGUUGAAGUCCCAAGCCCUAGUCAAACAAGAUAAAAACAAGCAAACAAAUAGGACUUCUUCACACUCCCCACCACUCACAAGGAUCCAAACUGCUUACCCCAGAAAGGGUGAGCACGAGCAGCCUCAUGACUUCAUGGUGUCUCAUAAACAGCCGCAGAGGCCAGUUUCAAUGGAAACUUCUCUCCUAAAUCACAUAGUUCUGCCUCCCUGCUAUCGACGUCAGUGACAAGGCCCCUCUCCUCUGAGAAACCCAGAACAAUGUGAUUAGAAGCGAGGAGCACAGGGCAGCAUUUGUGGCAGCAGAUUCCAAGACAGAAUCACAGCAUCUCAUCUCGGGCCUGCAUUCUCUUUCCAGCAUUCUCAAAGCAGCAUAUGAUUUCAUGCCUGGGAGCUGGGUAGGAGUUGUACUAGCCAGUUUGCAGAUAAAGAAAUCUCGGAGACAUUGA